rnacentral:rRNA from 1 species
CAGCCGCCGCGGGAAUACAGAGGGUGCAAGCGUUAAUCGGAAUUACUGGGCGUAAAGCGUGCGUAGGCGGCUUUUUAAGUCGGAUGUGAAAUCCCUGAGCUUAACUUAGGAAUUGCAUUCGAUACUGGGAAGCUAGAGUAUGGGAGAGGAUGGUAGAAUUCCAGGUGUAGCGGUGAAAUGCGUAGAGAUCUGGAGGAAUACCGAUGGCGAAGGCAGCCAUCUGGCCUAAUACUGACGCUGAGGUACGAAAGCAUGGGGAGCAAACAGGAUUAGAUACCCCCGUAGUCCCUGUCUCUUAUAC